rnacentral:rRNA from 1 species
UACGAAGGGGGCUAGCGUUGUUCGGAAUUACUGGGCGUAAAGCGCACGUAGGCGGAUAUUUAAGUCAGGGGUGAAAUCCCAGAGCUCAACUCUGGAACUGCCUUUGAUACUGGGUAUCUUGAGUAUGGAAGAGGUAAGUGGAAUUGCGAGUGUAGAGGUGAAAUUCGUAGAUAUUCGCAGGAACACCAGUGGCGAAGGCGGCUUGCCAGAACGCGCUCGACGGUGAGGGAUGAAAGCU